CAUUUGGGAAAUUUGUGUGUACUUCGGUAUGCAUCUCAAUUGGACCUGAUAUCAGGCAAGAUUACCCGCUGAACUUAAC
rnacentral:rRNA from 1 species